CGCGGGGUAGAGCAGUUUGGUAGCUCGCAAGGCUCAUAACCUUGAGGUCACGGGUUCAAAUCCUGUCUCCGCAA
rnacentral:ncRNA from 11 species